UUAAGUUAGAAAGGGCGCACGGUGGAUGCCUUGGCACUAGGAGCCGAUGAAGGACGGGACGAACACCGAUAUGCUUCGGGGAGCUGUAAGCAAGCUUUGAUCCGGAGAUUUCCGAAUGGGGAAACCCACCACUCGUAAUGGAGUGGUAUCCAUAUCUGAAUACAUAGGAUAUGAGAAGGCAGACCCGGGGAACUGAAACAUCUAAGUACCCGGAGGAAGAGAAAGCAAAUGCGAUUCCCUGAGUAGCGGCGAGCGAAACGGGAUCAGCCCAAACCAAGAGGCUUGCCUCUUGGGGUUGUAGGACACUCUGUACGGAGUUACAAAGGAACGAGGUAGAUGAAGAGGUCUGGAAAGGCCCGCCAUAGGAGGUAACAGCCCUGUAGUCAAAACUUCGUUCUCUCCUGAGUGGAUCCUGAGUACGGCGGAACACGUGAAAUUCCGUCGGAAUCCGGGAGGACCAUCUCCCAAGGCUAAAUACUCCCUAGUGACCGAUAGUGAACCAGUACCGUGAGGGAAAGGUGAAAAGCACCCCGGAAGGGGAGUGAAAGAGAUCCUGAAACCGUGUGCCUACAAGUAGUCAGAGCCCGUUAACGGGUGAUGGCGUGCCUUUUGUAGAAUGAACCGGCGAGUUACGAUCCCGUGCAAGGUUAAGCAGAAGAUGCGGAGCCGCAGCGAAAGCGAGUCUGAAUAGGGCGAAUUGAGUACGUGGUCGUAGACCCGAAACCAGGUGAUCUACCCAUGUCCAGGGUGAAGUUCAGGUAACACUGAAUGGAGGCCCGAACCCACGCACGUUGAAAAGUGCGGGGAUGAGGUGUGGGUAGGGGUGAAAUGCCAAUCGAACCUGGAGAUAGCUGGUUCUCUCCGAAAUAGCUUUAGGGCUAGCCUCAAGGUAAGAGUCUCGGAGGUAGAGCACUGAUUGGACUAGGGGCCCCUACCGGGUUACCGAAUUCAGUCAAACUCCGAAUGCCGAUGACUUAUCCUUGGGAGUCAGACUGCGAGUGAUAAGAUCCGUAGUCGAAAGGGAAACAGCCCAGACCGCCAGCUAAGGUCCCAAAGUAUACGUUAAGUGGAAAAGGAUGUGGAGUUGCUUAGACAACCAGGAUGUUGGCUUAGAAGCAGCCACCAUUUAAAGAGUGCGUAAUAGCUCACUGGUCGAGUGACUCUGCGCCGAAAAUGUACCGGGGCUAAACGUAUCACCGAAGCUGCGGACUGUUCUUCGAACAGUGGUAGGAGAGCGUUCUAAGGGCUGUGAAGCAAGACCGGAAGGACUUGUGGAGCGCUUAGAAGUGAGAAUGCCGGUAUGAGUAGCGAAAGAGGGGUGAGAAUCCCCUCCACCGAAUGCCUAAGGUUUCCUGAGGAAGGCUCGUCCGCUCAGGGUUAGUCGGGACCUAAGCCGAGGCCGAAAGGCGUAGGCGAUGGAUAACAGGUUGAUAUUCCUGUACCACCUCCUCACCAUUUGAGCAAUGGGGGGACGCAGGAGGAUAGGGUAAGCGCGGUAUUGGAUAUCCGCGUCCAAGCAGUUAGGCUGGGAAAUAGGCAAAUCCGUUUCCCGUGAAGGCUGAGCUGUGAUGGCGAGCGAAUUAUAGUAGCGAAGUUCCUGAUUCCACACUGCCAAGAAAAGCCUCUAGCGAGGUGAGAGGUGCCCGUACCGCAAACCGACACAGGUAGGCGAGGAGAGAAUCCUAAGGUGAUCGAGAGAACUCUCGUUAAGGAACUCGGCAAAAUGACCCCGUAACUUCGGGAGAAGGGGUGCUCUGUUAGGGUGCAAGCCCGAGAGAGCCGCAGUGAAUAGGCCCAGGCGACUGUUUAGCAAAAACACAGGUCUCUGCGAAGCCGUAAGGCGAAGUAUAGGGGCUGACGCCUGCCCGGUGCUGGAAGGUUAAGAGGAGCGCUUAGCGUAAGCGAAGGUGCGAAUUGAAGCCCCAGUAAACGGCGGCCGUAACUAUAACGGUCCUAAGGUAGCGAAAUUCCUUGUCGGGUAAGUUCCGACCCGCACGAAAGGCGCAACGAUCUGGGCACUGUCUCAACGAGAGACUCGGUGAAAUUAUAGUACCUGUGAAGAUGCAGGUUACCCGCGACAGGACGGAAAGACCCCGUGGAGCUUUACUGUAGCCUGAUAUUGAAUGUUGGUACAGCUUGUACAGGAUAGGUAGGAGCCUUGGAAAUCGGAGCGCCAGCUUCGGUGGAGGCAUCGGUGGGAUACUACCCUGGCUGUAUUGACCUUCUAACCCGCCGCCCUUAUCGGGCGGGGAGACAGUGUCAGGUGGGCAGUUUGACUGGGGCGGUCGCCUCCUAAAAGGUAACGGAGGCGCCCAAAGGUUCCCUCAGAAUGGUUGGAAAUCAUUCGCAGAGUGUAAAGGCACAAGGGAGCUUGACUGCGAGACCUACAAGUCGAGCAGGGACGAAAGUCGGGCUUAGUGAUCCGGUGGUUCCGCAUGGAAGGGCCAUCGCUCAACGGAUAAAAGCUACCCCGGGGAUAACAGGCUUAUCUCCCCCAAGAGUCCACAUCGACGGGGAGGUUUGGCACCUCGAUGUCGGCUCAUCGCAUCCUGGGGCUGUAGUCGGUCCCAAGGGUUGGGCUGUUCGCCCAUUAAAGCGGUACGCGAGCUGGGUUCAGAACGUCGUGAGACAGUUCGGUCCCUAUCCGUCGCGGGCGCAGGAAAUUUGAGAGGAGCUGUCCUUAGUACGAGAGGACCGGGAUGGACGCACCGCUGGUGUACCAGUUGUUCUGCCAAGGGCAUCGCUGGGUAGCUAUGUGCGGACGGGAUAAGUGCUGAAAGCAUCUAAGCAUGAAGCCCCCCUCAAGAUGAGAUUUCCCAUUCCGCAAGGAAGUAAGAUCCCUGAAAGAUGAUCAGGUUGAUAGGUCUGAGGUGGAAGUGUGGCGACACAUGGAGCUGACAGAUACUAAUCGAUCGAGGACUUAACCAA
rnacentral:rRNA from 1 species